rnacentral:lncRNA from 1 species
GACCAUUUCGUCUAUAACAUAAACUAAACCUACAUGAAAUGAAUUCAUCCAUAUUUUUCGUAAGUGAACGAGGCAAACCUUGCAUUUCCAUUCGAUUUAUUAUAUUUAUUUGAUUAAACUACUAAGUAUUUUCAAAAGAGGUUUUGAAAGUUUGAUGAAUAACUCCUUUCCACAAUUAAAACUAUUUGUCACUUUAUUGUGGAUCAAAUGGUAUGAUUGUAUUUCUUCAUCAUGCCGGUUUUUGUUUUUUAACUGGAUCAGCAUUAAACACUUAUUAAGCUCAUCAUUUAUAUUCUUUUACAUCAUGAAAAUAAUGUCCAUGAAAAUAGUAUUGCUUUAUAUUUCUUGAUAGUGUCUCUACGGCAGCAUGUCUGAAUCUAUCAUUUUGAAUAUUCUCAUUAAACACCACUAUCAGCCUGUAUCAGGAAAGACAAUCCUUGUUAAAAAUCAUCUUUUCAGUACUUUAAAUUUAACUGAUUGCAAUUUCAGUAAGCUUAAACAAGAAAUUGUGAAAUGAAGUAAAUUAAGAGUAAGCUCACA